rnacentral:tRNA from 1 species
CAGGGGGUAGUUUAAUUAAGAAUCCUAGCUUUGGGAGCUAGGAGUGGGAGUUAGAAUCUCCUCUCCCUGA